AGCUCCAGUAGCGUAUAUUAAAGUUGUUGCAGUUAAAAAGCUCGUAGUUGGAUUUAUGGUCUGGCGCGUUUGGCCCGCUCCAAUUUGGACGUGAGUGCCGAUGCGCGCCUGCCAUCCUUCUAGAGAACGUUUCUACCCUUAAUUGGGCCGGAUUCGCAAUCUAGAUCUUUUACUUUGAAAAAAUUAGAGUGUUUAAAGCAGGCUUGUGCUAUGAAUACAUUAGCAUGGAAUAAUAAUUUAGGACUUUGGUUCUAUUUUGUUGGUUUCUAGAACCGAAGUAAUGAUUGAUAGGGAUAGUUGGGGGUGCUAGUAUUCAGCGGCCAGAGGUGAAAUUCUUGGAUUCGCUGAAGACUAACUUAUGCGAAAGCAUUCACCAAGGAUGUCUUCUUUAAUCAAGAAC
rnacentral:rRNA from 1 species